UGCAUUGCCCGCAGGAAAGGCAAAGGAGGGUGAUGCUGAUGAUGCAGCAACAUCAUUAAGGGAGGCAAACAAGGAGAUUUGGCUUGAUCCAGCCUUGGUCACUGUCGUUUCCUCGCUUGAGCACUUCUUGCCCAAGGUCUUGGAAACACGGUCGUGGUGUCCGCAGGCCCAACACAGUCCUUGGUGUGAUUUGUCGCCAGAGCUUCCUGGGUCACGUUGCCCGGUGAGGGCCAGGUUCCAGAGCUAGGAAUGACUUGGGAGCACUACUUGGUUGCCCUGGCCCCGCCGGGGGAGAGGAUCGGCGGUGUCGAGUGCCACAUGGUGGCUGAUGUUGUGAUCCAGACGUUUUGGACCUUUUACAGGUGUGCUGAGGGACAGGAGGAGGCCGCAGCUCGGGUUAUCGAAGCCGAGUGCAAGCGGCUACUUCAAGACUGGCGGAACAGGGCUCGGACGCAGGCUACUCGAAGCUACUUCGCCUCGAUUGGUAUUAGGAUGUCCAAG